CCCAGACGGUCUGAUUUCAACCAUGCAUGUGCUUCUGGGUGAAUGCAGAUGCUGUUUGCUUCAUGUGAAUAGGAGCAAAGCCCAAGGAGAGGACACCUUCACCCUCCAACCCUUCUGAGUAAAACGGAGAUCCUAUCCCUAAAGCAAGGCUCCAAGUCAAUGGGCCUGUGCACAAUAGAAGAACAUCUGGCCUCGGGGACACGUUUACCUCUAGGCAAAGAGCAGGAGCGCAGUAUUGAGUAUUGUUGUAAACAAUACCAUUUGGAAACCUGGUUCCGCUCCUGUGAGUCCAGCAAACGCCUCAAAGACGCCCUUUUAGGAUUUCUUUAAAUUAAUCUGAGACAACGUGGGAAUACUCUCUAUAUAGUAUCUAGCCUACUGGAUAUGUGGUUUUUGUUGUUGUUGUUGUUUGUUUUAUUUUUAUUUUUGGCACGGCACUGAAGUCUGUGUAAAUAAAAGGCCCAGAUAAACUCGGCGAUGGGCCUUUCUGUCAAAACCAGGCUGGCUUUACAUGGCAAAACCAGGGCCUUACGUGUUUGGACACCUGACUUUCCAUGUCGCCCGUAAAAUCGCUGGUAGGGAAACAUUUUAAUUUAGUAGGCACCUUAUUUUUACCGAGAUGCUUAAGGCUGUCACGAGCUACUACUCUUGAUGGUAGUAGGAAAUAAACACGAGCGAUGAAAACA